GAUGAACGCUGGCGGCGUGCCUAAUACAUGCAAGUCGAGCGAACGGACGAGAAGCUUGCUUCUCUGAUGUUAGCGGCGGACGGGUGAGUAACACGUGGAUAACCUACCUAUAAGACUGGGAUAACUUCGGGAAACCGGAUCUAAUACCGGAUGAUAUUUUGAACCGCAUGGUUCAAAAGUGAAAGACGGUCUUGCUGUCACUUAUAGAUGGAUCCGCGCUGCAUUAGCUAGUUGGUAAGGUAACGGCUUACCAAGGCAACGAUGCAUAGCCGACCUGAGAGGGUGAUCGGCCACACUGGAACUGAGACACGGUCCAGACUCCUACGGGAGGCAGCAGUAGGGAAUAUUCCGCAAUGGGCGAAAGCCUGACGGAGCAACGCCGCGUGAGUGAUGAAGGUCUUCGGAUCGUAAAACUCUGUUAUUAGGGAAGAACAUAUGUGUAAGUAACUGUGCACAUCUUGACGGUACCUAAUCAGAAAGCCACGGCUAACUACGUG
rnacentral:rRNA from 1 species